AUGACCCUCGGCGUCAAAUGGAACCCUCAAGACGACGCUACGUGUGAUGGUGGACCCUCAAAAAGACAGUGUGACAUGGGGCAAUAAAUAACGACCUUGCAUGUUACGUGGAGACCUCAAGACGACCAUGUGUGUAAUGGUGGACCUCAAGACGACCCUGUGUGUGAUACUGGACCCCUCAAGACAAUAUCUGCGAAUUGGGGCACUCGAGACGACCCUCUGUGGCACCUAAAGACGGCUCUAAGUGUGACCUGAGGUUUUCAAGACGACCUUGUGAUAUGGAGCCUUAUAAGAUGGCCCUGUGUAUGACAUGGGGCCCUAAAAUGACAUACUAUCCGAUGUGGUUCCCCUAAAACUAGCAAGUAGCUGGUGUAAGCAAGUCCCUUCAAAACAUGGGCAGGAGCAACUCGUCACCAUCACAAUCCCGACGUCGUCACUACAUCAGAUAAAGGUGAGCUACAGCUAUCCUCACCCUUGCCGGAGAGGUCACGCCCACAAUCCCUACCGGACAAACCACGCCCACAUAUCACCCACUCCGGACAAGCCAUGCCCACAUCAUUCACGUCAGACAAACCACGCCCACACUAUCCUUUACUAACAAGCCACGCUCAAAUACCACCCCUGCCAGAGAAGCCACGCCCACAACCCAUGGUGGACAAGCCACGCCCACACAUCACGCAUCACCCAUGCCGGAGAAACCUCGCCCACACACAACCCCUACCAGUUAAUCCAGGCCCGUACAACACCCCUGCCAUACAAGCCACGCCCGCACACCACCCCUGCCACAACCACUAGCAGCUUGGCAGGGGGUGCCACACUCCACGCGAAAACCUUUUUCAGGUAGCCGUGGAAUGAGGUGUCGGGCGGGCGUCUCGUCCAUUAUUUAUAAGUGUUGACAGAGUGUAUUCAUAUGCAGUAAGUUGCAUUUUUUUAAGAUUUUGUUAAAUUCAAUCAUACAAGUUGCACCUUUUUUAAGUAUUUGUCUUGUUAAAUACAAAGUAGAUUGUCCAUAUGUUUAUCAUCCAAGAAUAAAUACAAACGAAGUUA